rnacentral:rRNA from 1 species
UACGAAGGGGGCUAGCGUUGUUCGGAUUCAUUGGGCGUAAAGGGCGCGUAGGCUGCGGGGCAAGUCGGGUGUGAAAUCUCAGAGCCAUCACUCUGAAACUGCACUCGAUACUGCUUUGCUUGAGGACUGGAGAGGAGAUUGGAAUUCACGGUGUAGCAGUGAAAUGCGUAGAUAUCGUGAGGAAGACCAGUGGCGAAGGCGGAUCUCGUGGACAGUUCCUGA